rnacentral:rRNA from 1 species
GAUGAACGCUGGCGGCGUGCCUAAUACAUGCAAGUCGAGCGAACAGACGAGGAGCUUGCUCCUCUGACGUUAGCGGCGGACGGGUGAGUAACACGUGGAUAACCUACCUAUAAGACUGGGAUAACUUCGGGAAACCGGAGCUAAUACCGGAUAAUAUAUUGAACCGCAUGGUUCAAUAGUGAAAGACGGGUGUUCUGUCACCUAUCGAUGGAUCCGCGCCGCAUUAGCUAGUUGGUAAGGUAACGGCUUACCAAGGCAACGAUGCGUAGCCGACCUGAGAGGGUGAUCGGCCACACUGGAACUGAGACACGGUCCAGGCUCCUACGGGAGGCAGCAGUAGGGAAUCUUCCGCAAUGGGCGAAAGCCUGACGGAGCAACGCCGCGUGAGUGAUGAAGGUCUUCGGAUCGUAAAGCUCUGUUAUUAGGGAAGAACAAAUGUGUAAGUAACUAUGCACGUCUUGACGGUACCUAAUCAGAAAGCCACGGCUAACUACGUG